UUCUGGCACCAGGGGUGCUUGCAUGAUUAAGAAGCGCAAUCCUGAUGCGUUGAUUAACUAUGCAGGCUGAGAGAGUCCCUUCGCACCUGAACAGGUUAAUACCUGCGUAGGGAGCGUGCCAUUGUCUUUUC
rnacentral:ncRNA from 2 species